GAUGAACGCUGGCGGCGUGCCUAAUACAUGCAAGUCGAGCGAACGGACGAGAAGCUUGCUUCUCUGAUGUUAGCGGCGGACGGGUGAGUAACACGUGGAUAACCUACCUAUAAGACUGGGAUAACUUCGGGAAACCGGAGCUAAUACCGGAUAAUAUUUUGAACCGCAUGGUUCAAAAGUGAAAGACGGUCUUGCUGUCACUUAUAGAUGGAUCCGCCCUGCAUUAGCUAGUUGGUAAGGUAACGGCUUACCAAGGCAACGAUGCAUAGCCGACCUGAGAGGGUGAUCGGCCACACUGGAACUGAGACGCGGUCCAGACUCCUACGGGAGGCAGCAGUAGGGAAUCUUCCGCAAUGGGCGAAAGCCUGACGGAGCAACGCCGCGUUAGUGAUGAAGGUCUUCGGAUCGUAAAACUCUGUUAUCAGGGAAGAACAUAUGUGUAAGUAAAUGUGCACAUCUUGACGGUACCUAAUCAGAAAGCCACGGCUAACUACGUG
rnacentral:rRNA from 1 species